UUUAUAAUAUUUGGAUGUUUUAUUUUCUUUAAAUCAAGCAGGUUACAUUUCAUUCGUUUUUACACAAUCUGAUAUUUGGAGGCAUUUGCAAAUAUGCUCAUAAAUUACAUGAUUUGUAAUCCCAAAGAAUGAGGUGGUUAAUGAUCAAUAUUGGGAUCAACAGUGAUCACCCUACUAAUGUAGGCAUUAGUAUGCAGGAAGAAAAAGAAAAGUUCCCAUUAAGGUCUCAUGUGAAACACCACAGGUCUGAAAUACUCAGGAACACAUGAAAAUGGCAAAAAAAUGAAUUUCACUCUCCAACCUUUUGCUAAAGAGACGUUGACGCCCACAGAGAGCCUGGAGCUCACAGGACAACAUUCACACAUUCUGCUUCAUGAAGAUGUCAGAUUAUCGUCAGACCAUAGACAUUACAUGUAAGGACACUGAACAUUUGGUCGGAUUACACAUAGAAAUGCAAACCAAAACAAUGUGUAAAGAUAAAGCAUGUUUAUUGAUGCGGCAAACAAAGGUUCAAAUAUCCUCCAAAGCACUUCAAGCCCUCAAAGAAUGCAACUCAAAACGCAGAUGAGGUAAAAGAAGAAACUUCUAAAUUAAAGUGGAGCGACCCAGGGACAAGUCUGGUUUGGGUUAAAGAUUAUGGAUGGUUAACUUUGUGUAACGUGUUUGGAAAAGCAAGUUUAGGUUUUAGGCAAGCGACUUCAGGUAUUAGGCAUGCGACUUCAGGUAUUAGGCAAGCGAGUACAGGCAAGAGAGUCAAGCUAAGCGAGUUUAGGUUUUAUGCAAGCGAGUACAGGUCUUAGGCAAGCGAGUCUAGGCAAGAGAGUCUAGGCAAGCGAGUUUAGGCAAGCGAGUUUAGGCAAGCGAGUUUAGGCAAGCGAGUUUAGGCAAGCGAGUUUAGGCAAGCGAGUUUAGGCAAGCGAGUUUAGGCAAGCAAGUUCAGGUAUUAGGCAAGCGACGCGAGUUUAGCCAAGCAAGUUCAGGUUUUAUGCAAACGAGUUUAGGUUUUAUGCAGGCGAGUUUAGACAAGCGAGUUUAGGCAAGCAAGUUUAGGUAAGAGAGUCAAGUUACUUUAGGCCUCACUUUAUUUGCGGUUAAAUUGCGGCAUUAGGUUUAGAAAGAAGGUUAAGAUCCAGGCUCAGGUUUGCUUCCAGCCUCGUCCCUCUAGUCGCUCCCUAUAAAGAGGGUUCCCAGCUACCGUGUUAAAAUACAACAGCUGGGAUUACAGAUAUGGAGCACAGAAAUAAAUGAAAAAGAUUGAUUCAAACAUUCCCCCAAAAUGUGGUGAAACAUAAAAUGGAGAAAAUAAUUACUUUCUCUCCAUUGAAACCCAGUCAUAAUUUACGAUCGCAAAUGGCGGACUUACGAGCUCUAUAGAGUGUGCACUGUGUGAUGAUGUUGGGUGUGGAUUAAUGUGCUGGUGUAGCCAUCCAGGGAUCCUCAGGGUUUAUGGGAGUAGGACACACUGGUGUAGUUCAGUACUGUGAAGUAAAUUGAUGCAAAAAGUAGAAUCAGUGUCAAGGACAAUCAAAUGUCUAUAAAUGCCGGAACAGCCCCAUCUGGGCUCAAUCGACAUUUGAUUUCAUAGACUCAAAUUAGCGAAAAAACAAGCAUUUAUUUACCUCAACUGUCCUAGUGCUG
ensembl:lncRNA